GAUGAACGCUGGCGGCGUGCCUAAUACAUGCAAGUCGAGCGAACGGACGAGAAGCUUGCUUUUCUGAUGUUAGCGGCGGACGGGAGAGUAACACGUGGAUAACCUACCUAUAAGACUGGGAUAACUUCGGGAAACCGGAGCUAAUACCGGAUAAUAUUUUGAACCGCAUGGUUCAAAAGUGAAAGACGGUCUUGCUGUCACUUAUAGAUGGAUCCGCGCUGCAUUAGCUAGUUGGUAAGGUAACGGCUUACCAAGGCAACGAUGCAUAGCCGACCUGAGAGGGUGAUCGGCCACACUGGAACUGAGACACGGUCCAGACUCCUACGGGAGGCAGCAGUAGGGAAUCUUCCGCAAUGGGCGAAAGCCUGACGGAGCAACGCCGCGUGAGUGAUGAAGGUCUUCGGAUCGUAAAACUCUGUUAUUAGGGAAGAACAUAUGUGUAAGUAACUGUGCACAUCUUGACGGUACCUAAUCAGAAAGCCACGGCUAACUACGUG
rnacentral:rRNA from 1 species